AGGUCACCAGUGGACCCCUUUCCAAAUCUAGUCUCCAUCCCUGCCUCCUGGCCUUCAGUACACACCGGCCCACCAAGUCAGAAUGGAUUUUAGAAGUUACGGGAGAAACAGUCAUGGACCACGUGGUGUUCUGGUUUGGCCAUGCCGACUGGCAGGUGAAGACAUGCUGAUUCCCCUUCUCCCUCUGGGAUCUGGCAGAAUUCUCCGGCAGAACACUCAGAAGCUCGCGACUGAGAUCCAUCUGGCUGUCUUAAAAAAUAAAAAAGGAGAUGCUGGGAGUCAGCACAUGAGAUCCCACCCAUGACAAGGUCGUGAGGAGAAGACCUGAUAAACAAGGCAGAUCGGGACUUCAGGAAUUUCGAAAAGCUGCCCGGCGCUCACCUUAAAGAUGAUCUCUGUCUUUCUGAUGCUUGCUAUAUUAGACUACUCCCUAAUUUCUGUGACACAGGUAGAAGGCCUUCCCCGAUCUCUCUCCAAACAGAAUCAACUUAGAACUUUAAUCAAUAUGUCCCCAAAGGACGGUGGUAUCCUAUAAGAUUAUCCAGGAUGAAAGGAGUGUUUCAAUUUAGACCCCUUUGCUGGCAUUCUAGCCUGCUUGGCAAAUGAGUACUAAUGCACAUGACCACUCACAACACUUUAAUCAUAAACAGCAUAAAGAACCUAAUCACACAAAGGCCCCAAUAGGCACAGAGCCCUUCGGGGGGUGAGGAAGCCCUAUUAGAGAACACGAAAAUAUUAUUCUAAAAGUGGUUAGAGUUAAAGAUUUAGAAAAAUAAGAGUUUAGAAUUGUUCAUCUUAACCAGGAAUGCUAAACAGGGGCUGCCUCACCGGAGCUGCAGAGUCUUUGUGUGGUAAACCUUUUAAAUAAAUUUAACUGAAAACUUCUGCAAAAGGACUGACCUUUGUGUUCAUUAAGGAAUAGAUUACAGAAAACAGCUUUGCAUUCACCUAGGUCAUAAAAUGUCAACAGGCCCCAAGGCCAGAAGAUAAUGUAUAAGACUCUCACUAAGAAGUUGCAGAAAACACCCUCGUUUCCUGAAGGAUAAGCCGAUGUAAUACUAAACUAUCUUCCCUUUAAAAAUGUACUAACUUAGAAUAUAAAAGCUACAGUAAAAAAAAAGAAGAUUGGCCAGACUAUACUACACACCCCCAGUCUGGUCUCUCUCCCUCCCUCUCUCUCUCUCUUUCUCGCUGACGCCGUUCAUGCUGUGGGUACCCCUGGAUCCUGUUGAGGCUGGACCCCAGCAGAAAAGCUUAAUGUUUAAAAUGUU